rnacentral:lncRNA from 1 species
UGCAAAUUUAUUUACAGAAAAACAGAGCCAGCAUCAUUUAAACAUCCCUGUUUUUCAAAAUUCCUUGUAAACAGUUUCAGAAAUUCUUCAAAGAUUGUUUGUUUUCUCUCUCUUGUUUAAGGUUUUGUGUGUGUGUGUGUUGUCUAGUUGUUUGAAGAUGAGAAGUUCCCAGUUCUCCCUGGCCUGGAAAGUCUCCGGAACAAGCACAGAAGGCGAGUGAAGCAGAGAGAAGCAUUUAAAAAAAAAUAAAAAUAAAAAUGCUGAACAAGAAAAACCAAACAACAGAAACUAAAACCACUGCAGGCACCAAGAACAAAACGAAAAUGAGCACAGCAAAGAGACCGUGGCAGCACAAGGGUUAAGAGAAUGCACGUGUGAUCAUGACUGGCCAAUCAUCCACGGGUACGACAUCCAAGGAUAACGCUCCAAUCACAGCACCUCCACGAAACUUGACGGCAAGUGUCAUGCAACCGAUCCUUAGCCUUGUUACAUGACGCCAUCAUGUCACACUGUGAACUUUGAGUUGAUUUGAACUUACGGAUGGGGGA